AACGAACGCUGGCGGCAUGCCUAACACAUGCAAGUCGAACGAGACCUUCGGGUCUAGUGGCGCACGGGUGCGUAACGCGUGGGAACCUGCCCUUAGGUUCGGAAUAACUCCCCGAAAGGGGUGCUAAUACCGGAUAAUGUCUUCGGACCAAAGAUUUAUCGCCUUUGGAUGGGCCCGCGUUGGAUUAGCUAGUUGGUAGGGUAAAAGCCUACCAAGGCGACGAUCCAUAGCUGGUCUGAGAGGAUGAUCAGCCACACUGGGACUGAGACACGGCCCAGACUCCUACGGGAGGCAGCAGUGGGGAAUAUUGGAAAAUGGGCGAAAGCCUGAUCCAGCAAUGCCGCGUGAGUGAUGAAGGCCUUAGGGUUGUAAAACUCUUUUAACCGGGAUGAUAAUGACAGUACCGGGAGAAUAAGCGCCGGCUAACUACGUG
rnacentral:rRNA from 1 species